GUCCGUGACCCUCUCGGAGAGUCGCAGUUUCUAAAUCUCUCGAAGUAACGCGGCUUUAGCCAGGAGGUCCCAAGCGUUAGGAUUAAAAAUAAAGAUAAAAGGGGAAUGGGGGGCUGGGGGAGGUGGACCUUGUGUUUGCACCUAGGUGAAACCUUCCUCUGCAGGCGGCGGUGUUUGCUUAGGGUCUCCCGCACCACCUGGAUUGCCCGGAGAGCGAUGUAUGAGCUUGCAAAUUUACACACAGACACACACACACAGGACUCUGCAGAUGAAUCCUUUCCCUCCGCCUACAUCCUGUGUGGUAGGUGAGCACCAGCCCUUCCGGUCACUACAGUUAAGGAGACUGGCCCAAGAAGGUUUGGGGAGAUUUGCCUAAAAUCCCAUGAACUGACAGACUGAGGCUAGGCUUCAUACCUGAUCAUCUUUAAGCAAUGAGAAGCAGAGGAAAAGGCAGUAGUGGGGAUCGAACUUGGGUCCUUGUGCUUGAGCAGCAGCAGCAGCACCAGAAAAAAGAAGAAGAAGAGGAGGAGGAGGAGGAGGAGCAAGAAGAAGAAGGAGGAGAAGAAGAAGAAGAGGAAGAAGAAAGAAGAGGAGGAGGAAGCAGAAGAAGCAACUUUUCAAUUGUGGGCAGAAAUCCCAAGACCAAACUGGUUGUUUCUUCUAGAAAGAUGACUCUUUAAGUUAUUAUCAUUCUCCUUCCAGGGUGCUGUUCAGGGACAGGCCUGGCAAAAUAAAACUGCUACUGGAGAGA